rnacentral:rRNA from 1 species
AGAGUUUGAUCAUGGCUCAGAACGAACGCUGGCGGCAUGCCUAACACAUGCAAGUCGAACGAGGGCUUCGGCCCUAGUGGCGCACGGGUGAGUAACGCGUGGGAACCUGCCCUGUGGUACGGAAUAACUCCGGGAAACUGGAGCUAAUACCGUAUGUGUCCUGUGGGACAAAGAUUUAUCGCCAUGGGAUGGGCCCGCGUAGGAUUAGCUUGUUGGUGGGGUAACGGCCUACCAAGGCUUCGAUCCUUAGCUGGUCUGAGAGGAUGAUCAGCCACACUGGGACUGAGACACGGCCCAGACUCCUACGGGAGGCAGCAGUGGGGAAUAUUGGACAAUGGGCGCAAGCCUGAUCCAGCAAUGCCGCGUGAGUGAUGAAGGCCUUCGGGUUGUAAAGCUCUUUCGCACGCGACGAUGAUGACGGUAGCGUGAGAAGAAGCCCCGGCUAACUUCGUGCCAGCAGCCGCGGUAAUACGAAGGGGGCUAGCGUUGUUCGGAAUUACUGGGCGUAAAGGGCGCGUAGGCGGUACUUCAAGUCAGGCGUGAAAGCCCCGGGCUCAACCUGGGAACCGCGCUUGAGACUGGAGAACUAGAGUUCGGGAGAGGAUGGUGGAAUUCCCAGUGUAGAGGUGAAAUUCGUAGAUAUUGGGAAGAACACCGAUGGCGAAGGCAGCCAUCUGGACCGACACUGACGCUGAGGCGCGAAAGCGUGGGGAGCAAACAGGAUUAGAUACCCUAGUAGUCC